CCCUCCCUCAGUUUCCAAAUUACAUUUCUUUGAAAAACCAAGAGGAAUGUAGGGUUGUACUUAAUGACUGUGCAGAACAACUUUCAUCUAGGUGGGGACCUCUGAUCUCUGUCUAAUGGAAGGAUUUCUGCCAAGCCAAAGACAAAGAAUCAAAGCUUAUGGAUGUGAGAAAUGGGAUGAGCUCCUCUGGGCAAGGCCACUCCCUGCCUUUUACCUGUAUUCCUCUCACAUUCAGCAGGUGCUGUCAAACCUCCCCUUAUGAUGAAUAGUAGAAUCUACAAAGUAUAUCAGGCAGAUGAUCUCUGGAGACAAAAUAUGAGUAUGUGAGAACAAAAACAUAGAAAAGGAGAACUGUGUAUGGAAAAGGAAAUCCAAACAAGAAAUAAAUAAUCCCUGAAAAAUAAUAAGACUUUUUCUGGGACAUAUCUGUCCUAGGACAGGUACUCAACCAAAAUAAAAGGAUGUAAAGAUUGAGCUAUACAGAACUAAAGAUAACAUAACUAAGCAAAUGAAACUGCACCUUAUGCAGUGCUGGUUCUGUUUUGCGUGUGUGUUAGUCCUGUGUUGUCUCCUUACUCUACUUUCUGAAAAAAACAGUUUCAACUUGUUUCUACCCAGGAGAGAAGUUAAGAGUUUUGAAGAUGUUAACACCAAGCACAUGACCAGAAAGUUGAGAAGCUCAGAUUGGGAUUACAUUGACAGUCAGUUUUACAAAGUGCUUCUGAAUGGGACCCUUCACAAAGAAGCCUGUGCAGAUUCCCUAGCUGGAGAUCAAUUAAACAACAGUGACCCUCAGGAGCAGGAGAGAGAAACUGAAAAGCUGGUGUGCUAGCUUCAGUAUUUGACUAGCGCCAAAAAAUAAUAAUAUGGACUCAUGUCUUACCACCAGGUGUACAAAUGUCAUACAUGUCAUACAGCUACUCUGACAUGAGGCAAGGAGAGCGGUGCAAUGGAACAAACGUUCUGUAGUACUGACAUUCUUGUUCACCUCCUUAUCCUCUACUGAUUCAAAUCAGUAGGGAAUAGAAGGCAGGAACAAAAAUACUGUCAGUCAUCACAGUUUUGUGCCAAAUAGGCCUACUAAAAUGACUAUUUUUGUUGGAUUGUUAAUGUGGUUUAUGAUUGUAACAGUUUGGAAUAUU